UACGGGGGGGGCUAGCGUUGUUCGGAAUUACUGGGCGUAAAGGGCGCGUAGGCGGUCUGCUAAGUUGGAUGUGAAAACUCUGGGCUUAACCCAGAGCCUGCAUUCAAUACUGACAGGCUAGAGUUCUGGAGGGGAUAGCGGAAUUCCUGGUGUAGCGGUGAAAUGCGUAGAUAUUGGGAGGAACACCGGUGGCGAAGGCGGCUACCUGGACCGGUAUUGACGCUGAGGCGCGAAAGCGUGGGGAGCGAACAGG
rnacentral:rRNA from 1 species